ensembl:lncRNA
CUAGCAAGUGUUCUUAGAGCUUUCCUUUUUUUUUCCCUUCCUUCUCUUCCUUUUAGGUAAAAUAUUGCUACAUGUGUAAGUUUGGAGAGGAAAAAAAGAGUAAAAUCAAUAGCAAUCAUUAAUGACCUCUUCCCUAUGAUUUCCAAAGCUGGAAAUGUGUGUGUAUAGCUGUUUUGAAUUGCUGAUUAAUGAAAUUAAGCCUCAAUUAGCGAGACCAAAAAAGUGGUGGGUCUGGCUUUUUUCCUUUUCCUUUUCUUUUUCCCCUCCCACUUGUGAAGGGGAAAUAGUUGCUUUAGAACAAGAAGUGAAGCGGAGGAAGCUCUUUAGAAUGGCUAGUUUCGUUAACCAGUUUUGAAGCAUGUGUUAAUAAUUGGACUGCUGACUAAAUGAAGACGUGGAAAUCUUUGUCACUGAAGAUGGGGG